rnacentral:rRNA from 1 species
CAGUCGCCACGGGAAUACGAAGGGUGCAAGCGUUAAUCGGAAUUACUGGGCGUAAAGCGUGCGUAGGCGGUGAGUUAAGUCUGCUGUGAAAUCCCCGGGCUCAACCUGGGAAUGGCAGUGGAUACUGGCAAGCUAGAGUGUGUCAGAGGAUGGUGGAAUUCCCGGUGUAGCGGUGAAAUGCGUAGAGAUCGGGAGGAACAUCAGUGGCGAAGGCGGCCAUCUGGGACAACACUGACGCUGAGGCACGAAAGCGUGGGGAGCAAACAGGAUUAGAUACCCCAGUAGUCCCUGUCUCUUAUAA